rnacentral:rRNA from 1 species
CCUACGGGUGGCAGCAGUGAGGAAUAUUGGUCAAUGGACGCGAGUCUGAACCAGCCAAGCCGCGUGAAGGAAGAAGGCACAAUGAGUUGUAAACUGCUUUUGUAAGGGGGUAAAGGCAGGUACGCGUACCUGUCUGAAUGUACCGUACGAAUAAGGAUCGGCCAACUCCGUGCCAGCAGCCGCGGUAAUACGGAGGAUGCAAGCGUUAUCCGGAUUUAUUGGGUUAAAGGGGGGCGUAGGCGGGCGUUUAAGUCAGCUGUAAAAGCCCGGGGCUCAACCCCGCCCCGCCGUUGAAACUGGGAGUCUUGAGUUCACGACAGGCAGGCGGAAUUCGUGGUGUAGCGGUGAAAUGCAUAGAUAUCACGCAGAACUCCGAUUGCGAAGGCAGCCUGCCGGAGUGCGACUGACGCUGAGGCUCGAAAGUGUGGGUAUCGAACAGGAUUAGAUACCCCUGUAGUC